rnacentral:rRNA from 1 species
AGCGAACGCUGGCGGCAGGCUUAACACAUGCAAGUCGAGCGGGCACCUUCGGGUGUCAGCGGCAGACGGGUGAGUAACACGUGGGAACGUACCCUUCGGUUCGGAAUAACGCUGGGAAACUAGCGCUAAUACCGGAUACGCCCUUAUGGGGAAAGGUUUACUGCCGAAGGAUCGGCCCGCGUCUGAUUAGCUAGUUGGUGGGGUAACGGCCUACCAAGGCGACGAUCAGUAGCUGGUCUGAGAGGAUGAUCAGCCACACUGGGACUGAGACACGGCCCAGGCUACGAGGGGGGGCAGCAGGGGGGAAUCUGGCACGAGGGCGACCAGCCUGACGCCGCGAUGCCGGGGGAGAGAAGCGGGCGGUAGGGGUUUACAGCUCCUCUGUCAGGGACAAUACUGACGGAACCGAAAGAAAAGGCCCCGCCUCUCUUCGCGCCAGCAGCCGCGGAAAUCAGCGGAAGACCACCCGUCGCACC